UACGGAGGGUGCAAGCGUUAUCCGGAUUCACUGGGUUUAAAGGGUGCGUAGGCGGGCAGGUAAGUCAGUGGUGAAAUCUCCGAGCUUAACUUGGAAACUGCCAUUGAUACUAUUUGUUUUGAAUAUUGUGGAGGUAAGCGGAAUAUGUCAUGUAGCGGUGAAAUGCUUAGAUAUGACAUAGAACACCAAUUGCGAAGGCAGCUUACUACACAAUGAUUGACGCUGAGGCACGAAAGCGUGGGGAUCAAACAGG
rnacentral:rRNA from 1 species